UGGCCCUGUAGACAGAUGUCCCACUUUGCUGCCCCAUAUUGGCUGGACUCUGAGUAUGACAUCUCUCCUAUGUGCAGAAGUCUGGUUGCCACUGGGAGUAGGUGGGACCAGGGAAAUCUCUGGGACGUGAGUGUGGAGGCCUGUUGGUCUAGACUCUAGACUGUGGAGCUCUGAGCUUUUGUGUCCUCUGGAAGGAAGCUGGGGAAGAAUCCUCUCCAUUGUUAAGUGACGGGGAUAGAAGCUGUCCUGCACAGGAAGUCACGAGGGGGGCGUAUCCCACGAGGAAGGCAGGAGGGGGCGUGCCCCUCACCGGAAAUUAGCAGAGGGGCGUGUCCCACACCGGAAGUCAGAAAGCGGAGCCUUUCUUACACCGGAAGUCAAUGAAGCGGGUCUUUCCUACGCUAAAAACCACUGAGUGGAGUAUUUAGUACACAGGAAGUCGGCCAGAGAAACAUUUCUCAUAUUUGAAGGCCGGAAAGAGGGACAUUUCUGACACCGGAAGUCAGUGAGAGGACUCUUUCCCACACAGGAAGUCAGCUAGAGAGCCGUCUCCCCUCUCUGGAGCCGAGAGAGGCCGGUUUCCCCCACCGUAAGUAGACGUGGGGCCGUGACCGGAAGUCCUUGGGAAAGAUCCGUCCCAUUCCCGGAAGCUAGAGGGCGUUAGUUGUCGGGUUGAAAAGGGGUGUGGGGAGGGGAAGCAGCUUUACCCCGGGCUCGGAGUUUGCAGGAGAGAGAAGUGGGGAGCAAGAAGUGAACCUCAGGGGCUCACAGGGUUCCCGCAGAUGCUCAGGCCGGCCAGGAAUGCAUCUCUGGCUCUCUGUUCCCACGGACGUCACUGCCUCAGCCAGCCUCCCCCAGAGCCCGCCAGCCGCUAAGCCGGGGCCACACCUGGGGGUGAUUUCAUGCCUCACCUCCAGUAGGCACCUUGGUUUCUUUGGGCUAAUCUCUGGCUCCCUUGCGCUAACUCUUGCUCUCACCCAGCUAAUCCCUGCCUCACCCUGACUGCCCCAGGGGCUGACCACUAACAACCAACCUGGCCCUGUCUGGGGGUUCCAGGCUCCUGGCCUGGCCCUGACCGGUUCUUAAUUAACCUUUCCUUCACCUUGACUAACUCCUGCCUUCCUGGUCUGUUCCUUUCAGCAGAAACUAAUGGUUUGUGGAUUUUUUUCUGACUAACAACAGGUCUAACAUUCCUCGUUACUGUUAACAGCUUGGAUGUCGGCAUGGCUGGGAAGGGGCUAACACAGCUUUGAACUUGGCUAACACAGGUUUGAACUUGGCUAACACAGGUUUGAACUUGACUAACACAGGGAAAAGCAUAGCUAACAAUUUUGGGCGUGGUGGCUGCUCUGAGUCAGAACAAUCAGAAGUCGGUAAAGAUGGUAGUUUUCUAAAGGAGGUGCCAGGGCUCUGGUGUGGACCAGGCCUGAUGGAGCAGUGGUACCCACCAAGGUGGGGUCAGAAGUAUAGCCAGUCUUGCAAGGUUUUGGCCAUUGGGCAUAUCUUCACUCCUCAUAGUCUGCAUUUGGUUUCAGUUCUUAAAAAAAUAUAGCCUUAUAGCUACAGUAGUUUGCACAAGUAGAUGCAGCUCUUAUAAACCUUAAAAUACCUGUCUGGUGUCUACAGAGCAUAUGCCAUUUUGUAUAGAGUCACCCUUCCCCAGGCCAGGGCCUAGAGUCUUCAUUUUGGGGACUUUGUGUUUUGGAAGUUCUAGGACAUAAAGCUUUAGAUCAGAGUAUUCAGAAGGGUUAUAACUCCGUCAGUCAUUUACAUGUUAGUAGUAUAAAUUAUCUGAGCUUCCUGUUCUAACUUUUAGCUCUUCUAGCAUAAACUCUUCUGUGCAAUUUAGCUGCACCGAGGAAACGGGAGUUUUUCUGGAAGGGACUUUUGAUCUCUUUAGACUGAGGGAACGUCCUUUGGGAGUAGAGGGGCAGGGAGCAUACGCAAGGGAUUCCAGGUGCAGGUAAAAGGUGGCACUAGUUCAAGGUUUUGCUGACUCAGUCUGGUAGUCAGAGUCUGCAGGAGAAGACAGUUCAAGGCAGGGCCUGGAGGAUUGGAUCAGUUUAGGGACAGGUCAAAGGCUGGCUUACAGACCUUAGAGGCAGGUUGCUUGGGUCGUUGAAUGCUAGUCUGGUGCUGAGAGCCCUUUUCUCUGGCAACUGUGGACUCAGAGCUAACCAAUUGUAGUUGGCAGUGGGGGUGAAGGGUGAUCCAGAGGCCUGAGCUGCAGAGGGCACAAGAGAGAAAAGAUGUCUUAGAAAGAGCUUUGAGAACAUGCCUUGGCUGCUGGCAGGGACCUUGGAUGGGGUAGUCUACACCCGGAAGUGCCUGCCUGCCAUCCUCUAGUGGCUGCCUUGCUCCAUUUCACUCAAAGCAGGAAGCUCACACCUCCUAUUCCUGAAACUCCUCUUUGUUUAACUGCAAAGACUUGAUGCUGCUAAGGAUCUACUAUGUGCCAGGCACUGCUCUGGGCGCUGGGACCUGCACCUGGGCUUUUUCGUCAUGGUGCUUUUAUAGCCUAGUGGGAGAGUUGGUGAAGUAGAUAGUGAUUCAGUGAGAUGGGUGUUAUGAUUGGUCAGGGGUCUGUGGGAGCACCAAGGAGACAGACAAGAUUGAUGUGCACCUACUCUGUGCCAGGCGUGUGCCAGGCAUUGGGGAUGUAGUGGUAGUUAAACACCAUUUGGUCUUCAGGAGCUUUAAUUCUAGUGUGUUGGGUGCAGGGGGGUGGAAUGGGGACAGAGAGACACCUAAUCCACCCUGUGGUGGCUUUCUGGAGAGGGAGGCAUCUAAGCUGAGCUGUGGCUGGGUGGAGUGUGGGUGGGGAUGAGUUCCGGGCAGCGAGAGUGGUGGACACCAGUUUCUGGGGAUCAGAGAGGAUCCAAAGAGGUUCUGGAAGGUUCAUGUGGAAUGUAGCAAGAGAUAGGAGACAUGGACAUGGUGCCGGGUCUGGUUGCCAAGAAGUUUAGAUUUUAUCCUUAGGCCUUGGGGAGCGACGGAUAUGAUCUGAGAAAGGGAGUUAGUGGAUUUGAGUUUUAGGCUGGCCAUUUGGCUUUUCCAGCCCAGGUGGAACUCAGAGGAGUUUGCAAUGGCCUCUGGCCACAUUUUAGACAACUGAGCAGAACUUUUUGAAACUAGGAAGACCCUUUGGUCCAUCUUUUGAUAAACAGAAUCCAUACAUGUCUACCCCAGUUGGAAGUAUCUCUGCAAUGACUGGAAAGUAAAGAGGACCAAGGUGAAAAUAAAGGCUCGGAAGGGGAGCAAUCUUGAAAACAUGUCAUCCCAUGGUGGUGGGAAGUCCCUGGAGAAGAUCAGGGGAAACACAGUCAUAGGCUGCAAGUCUAUAAGAUAAUUCCAUUGGGGAGGGAGCCCAUUUGUCAUGCAUGGCUGCAAGGGGCAGAUACAAGUGUGGAGUAAGCUUGCAAGAGCUGAUCCUGGUCCCAGAGAGGGAAAAAUAUGCCUUGGUGGGUAAUGAACCUUUUGUUCCCAGAGGCAGAAGGAUUGGGACUAGGCCAACAUAGAGAUUGGCGAUGGUUGUGAGAUUCUAAGAGUGUGUGUGCAUCUUGACAAUAUUAGAGGAGGCUGAGCCCAAGCAGGCACAUUCUCUUCGACCCCUCCCUCAUUCAGUCUGCUUUGGAGUCUACUGAACAUCAAGCUUGCUAUGAGCAGGAUCUUAGAGCUGAGGAAUUGGCCUCCCAAUCCGAACAGGUGUUAUAAUCCUUUCUUAAUAGGUUGUGCUGUGGACCCAAUGUGAGGGCUGUGCUGGUGUAAAUGGUGACAUGUUGAGCUGGGGGGAUGCUUUCGGGGUGGGGGGACUGGUUCCAUUCCAUCAAAGGCCCUCUUGAGAGUCUAUCCAGGGACCCAUUGUUUUACUUUAACAGACCAGAAAAGAUGUUUGUUUUCCAUGUCAUUACCCCCAGGGGAUACCGAAUGUGUGGGUAGAAAUUUCUCUGUAGAUUAAAAAUCAGAUUUUUACAUGGAUUCAACAAAGGAGCGUCACUUGGAUUUUUGUUUUCAUCCAUGAAUGUAGCUGCUUCUGUGUAAAAUGCCAUUUUGCUAUUAAAAAUCAAUUCACGC
rnacentral:lncRNA from 10 species